CCUACGGGUGGCAGCAGUGGGGAAUAUUGGGCAAUGGGCGCAAGCCUGACCCAGCAACGCCGCGUGAAGGAAGAAGGCUUUCGGGUUGUAAACUUCUUUUCAGAGGGAAGAGAAGAAGACGGUACCUCUUGAAUAAGCUACGGCUAACUACGUGCCAGCAGCCGCGGUAAUACGUAGGUGGCAAGCGUUGUCCGGAUUUACUGGGUGUAAUGGGCGUGCAGCCGGGCUGACAAGUCAGAUGUGAAAUCCCGCGGCUCAACCGCGGAACUGCAUUUGAAAUUGUCAGUCUUGAGUACCGGAGAGGUCAUCGGAAUUCCUUGUGUAGCGGUGAAAUGCGUAGAUAUAAGGAAGAACACCAGUGGCGAAGGCGACUAUCUGGCACAUAACUGACGCUGAGGAGCGAAAGCGUGGGUAGCAAACAGGAUUAGAUACCCGUGUAGUC
rnacentral:rRNA from 1 species